UACGGAGGGUGCAAGCGUUAUCCGGAAUCAUUGGGUUUAAAGGGUCCGCAGGCGGACGUAUAAGUCAGUGGUGAAAGCCUACAGCUCAACUGUAGAACUGCCAUUGAUACUGUACGUCUUGAAUUCGGUCGAAGUGGGCGGAAUAUGACAUGUAGCGGUGAAAUGCAUAGAUAUCGUCCAGAACACCGAUAGUGAAGACAGCUUACCAGAGUGCAACUGACGCUGAGGCACGAAAGUGUGGGGAUCAAACAGGAUUAGAUACCCUGGUAGU
rnacentral:rRNA from 1 species